UACGUAGGGUGCAAGCGUUAAUCGGAAUUACUGGGCGUAAAGCGUGCGCAGGCGGUUAUGUAAGACAGAUGUUAAAUCCCCGGGCUCAACCUGGGAACUGCAUUUGUGACUGCAUAGCUAGAGUACGGUAGAGGGGGAUGGAAUUCCGCGUGUAGCAGUGAAAUGCGUAGAUAUGCGGAGGAACACCGAUGGCGAAGGCAAUCCCCUGGACCUGUACUGACGCUCAUGCACGAAAGCGUGGGGAGCAAACAGG
rnacentral:rRNA from 1 species